CAACUUUCAACAACGGAUCUCUUGGCUCUCGCAUCGAUGAAGAACGCAGCGAAAUGCGAUACGUAAUGUGAAUUGCAGAAUUCAGUGAAUCAUCGAAUCUUUGAACGCACCUUGCGCCCCUUGGUAUUCCGAGGGGCCACACCCGUUUGAGUGUCGUGA
rnacentral:rRNA from 1 species